GACGGAAGGUGCAAGCGUUGCUCGGAAUCACUGGGCGUAAAGGGCGCGUAGGCGGCACGGCAAGUCAGGAGUGAAAGCCCUGGGCUCAACCCGGGAACUGCUUUUGAAACUGCCGAGCUAGAGUGCGGAAGGGGCAACUGGAAUUCCCAGUGUAGCGGUGAAAUGCGUAGAUAUUGGGAAGAACACCUGAGGCGAAGGCGGGUUGCUGGGCCGACACUGACGCUGAGGCGCGAAAGCCAGGGGAGCAAAGCGGG
rnacentral:rRNA from 1 species